rnacentral:rRNA from 1 species
UACGAAGGGGGCUAGCGUUGUUCGGAAUCACUGGGCGUAAAGCGCACGCAGGCGGAUCGUUAAGUCAGGGGUGAAAUCCCGAGGCUCAACCUCGGAACUGCCUUUGAUACUGGCGAUCUUUGAGUCCGGGAGAGGUGAGUGGAACUCCGAGUGUAGAGGUGAAAUUCGUAGAUAUUCGGAAGAACACCAGUGGCGAAGGCGGCUCACUGGCCCGGUACUGACGCUGAGGCACGAAAGCGUGGGGAUCAAACAGGAG